rnacentral:rRNA from 1 species
UACGGGGGGGGCAAGCGUUGUUCGGAAUUACUGGGCGUAAAGGGCUCGUAGGCGGCCAACUAAGUCAGACGUGAAAUCCCUCGGCUUAACCGGGGAACUGCGUCUGAUACUGGAUGGCUUGAGGUUGGGAGAGGGAUGCGGAAUUCCAGGUGUAGCGGUGAAAUGCGUAGAUAUCUGGAGGAACACCGGUGGCGAAGGCGGCAUCCUGGACCAAUUCUGGCGCUGAGGAGCGAAAGCCAGGGGAGCAAACGGG